rnacentral:rRNA from 1 species
GAGUUUGAUCUUGGCUCAGAACGAACGCUGGCGGCGUGGAUAAGACAUGCAAGUCGAACGGGAGAAUUGCUAGCUUGCUAAUAAUUCUCUAGCGGCGCACGGGUGAGUAACACGUGAGUAACCUGCCCCCGAGAGCGGGAUAGCCCUGGGAAACUGGGAUUAAUACCGCAUAGUAUCGAAAGAUUAAAGCAGCAAUGCGCUUGGGGAUGGGCUCGCGGCCUAUUAGUUAGUUGGUGAGGUAACGGCUCACCAAGGCGAUGACGGGUAGCCGGUCUGAGAGGAUGUCCGGCCACACUGGAACUGAGACACGGUCCAGACACCUACGGGUGGCAGCAGUCGAGAAUCAUUCACAAUGGGGGAAACCCUGAUGGUGCGACGCCGCGUGGGGGAAUGAAGGUCUUCGGAUUGUAAACCCCUGUCAUGUGGGAGCAAAUUAAAAAGAUAGUACCACAAGAGGAAGAGACGGCUAACUCUGUGCCAGCAGCCGCCGCGGU